rnacentral:rRNA from 1 species
ACGAAGGGUGCAAGCGUUACUCGGAAUUACUGGGCGUAAAGCGUGCGUAGGUGGUUCGUUAAGUCUGAUGUGAAAGCCCUGGGCUCAACCUGGGAAUUGCAUUGGAUACUGGCGGGCUAGAGUGCGGUAGAGGGUAGUGGAAUUCCGGGUGUAGCGGUGGAAUGCGUAGAGAUCCGGAAGAACACCGGUGGCGAAGGCGGCCUGCUGGGUUCUGGCUGACACUGAGGCGCGACAGCGUGGGGAGCAAACAGGA